rfam:Schistosoma rodhaini strain Burundi genome assembly, scaffold: SROB_scaffold0000465
AUUCAGCUGACGAGUCCUAAAUAGGACGAAAUGCUCGUACUCGAU